rnacentral:rRNA from 1 species
UGAACGCUGGCGGCAUGCUUUACACAUGCACGUCGAACGGUAACAGGCCUUCGGGUGCUGACGAGUGGCGAACGGGUGAGUAAUGCAUCGGAACGUACCCAGAGGUGGGGGAUAACGCAGCGAAAGCUGUGCUAAUACUGCAUGUGAUCUGAGGAUGAAAGCGGGGGACCGAGCAGCAAUGUUUGGCCUCGCGCCUUUGGAGCGGCCGAUGUCGGAUUAGCUAGUUGGUGGGGUAAAGGCCUACCAAGGCGACGAUCCGUAGCUGGUCUGAGAGGACGACCAGCCACACUGGGACUGAGACACGGCCCAGACUCCUACGGGAGGCAGCAGUGGGGAAUUUUGGACAAUGGGCGCAAGCCUGAUCCAGCAAUGCCGCGUGCGGGAAGAAGGCCUUCGGGUUGUAAACCGCUUUUGGCAGGAACGAAACGGUGUCCGCUAAUACCGGGCGCUAAUGACGGUACCUGCAGAAUAAGCACCGGCUAACUACGU